CAGCAAGUUGUGUUUGUUAUUCUAUAACACAGACCUCUCCCUCUCUGCCAGUGCCCUGAGAUAAAGAGCUCCUGGGAAAACUGGAAUCCAACUGAUACCAAAAAGGUGACCUGGAUGACAUCAGCCAUGGACCUCCUGGCAUGGCCUCCAAGGAGGGGGGUUAUGGAUCAGAUACAGAGGCUCUCCUUAAAAAGGCCAAAGAGACCUGGAAUCUCCCACUGGGUCUUUUUUCUCUGGCAUCAUUGCUCUUCCUGUUUAAGCAGCUCAGGGUGGCUCUGAUCCUGUGCUAAUGGAAGGAAUCGUGGUUAAUGUAGAACCCUGUGUGCCAUGGGGUGAACCUGAGGCUCUGAACAUCCAGGAGCACUUUGAGGAGCUGGAAGGUAAAGGGCAGAAAACCAGCACACUUCAGGGCAGGCAUGCUUGCCAAGGUGGGCACAGACUGAAGAGCUGCAUUCACCUCCAGAAAGGAACUCUGGCUGAAGCACAUGCAGGAGAAUGAAUGUCAGAAAUGUUGAAACUCUGCCCAGCUGGCAUGAUGUAAUCCCAGCAAGUGCUCUGAUCUGCAGGCUACAAUAAAUAUAACUGGGGAUGGGCCGUUUACAGUUUCCUGGAAUUGGAAAGACCUAGCUCAAGACUCAAAAUGAUUCCAGUCUUUCCCAGUGAUAACACAGCAAUUUUUUUAAUUAGACCAAACAAGACUGUGUGCUUGUUUUGGUGGGAAUAAAGAAAAUUGCAAAAACUUCA